rnacentral:rRNA from 8 species
CAUCCCGGCUUACCAACCCGAUGCAAACUGCGAAUACCGGAGAAUGUUAUCACGGGAGACACACGGCGGGUGCUAACGUCCGUCGUGAAGAGGGAAACAACCCAGACCGCCAGCUAAGGUCCCAAAGUCAUGGUUAAGUGGGAAACGAUGUGGGAAGGCCCAGACAGCCAGGAUGUUGGCUUAGAAGCAGCCAUCAUUUAAAGAAAGCGUAAUAGCUCACUGGUCGAGUCGGCCUGCGCGGAAGAUGUAACGGGGCUAAACCAU